GUGCUCACUUUGCCAGCACAUAUAUUAAAAACUUGGAACCAUACAGAGAAGAUUAGGACGUGGCCCCUGUGCAAGGAUGAUACACAAAUUUGCGAAAUAUUACAUAAAAAA
rnacentral:snRNA from 1 species